UACGAAGGGGGCUAGCGUUGCUCGGAAUUACUGGGCGUAAAGGGCGCGUAGGCGGUUUCGCAAGUCAAGGGUGAAAUCCCGGAGCUUAACUCCGGAAUUGCUUUUGAUACUGUGAGGCUAGAGUGUAUUAGAGGAUGGCGGAAUUCCUAGUGUAGUGGUGAAAUACGUAGAUAUUAGGAAGAACACCGGUGGCGAAGGCGGCCAUCUGGGAUACAACUGACGCUGAGGCGCGAAAGCGUGGGGAUCAAACAGG
rnacentral:rRNA from 1 species